CUUAUCGUCCUUUCCACUUCUUUGGUGUACUGCUUAACUUAACUAAACAAUAGUUAAAAUAGUUGACUAGCUAGAAGGUUAAGUAGCUAGAAGGUUGACUAGCUAGAAGGUUAAGUAGCUAGAAGGUUGACUAGCUAGAAGGUUAAGUAGCUAGAAGGUAAAGUAGCUAGAUGUUUGACUAGCUAGAAGGGUAAGUAGCUAGAAGGUUGACUAGCUAGAAGCUUAAGUAGCUAGAAGGUUGACUUUCUAGAAGGUUGACUUUCUAGAAGGUUGACUAGUUAUAAGGUUAAGUAGCUAGAAGGUUAAGUAGUUAGAAGGUUA
ensembl:lncRNA